UAAUACGGGGGGGACGAGCGUUGUUCGGAUUUACUGGGCGUAAAGGGCGCGUAGGCGGGCCUUCAAGUCGGGUGUGAAAACUGAAAGCUAAACUUUCAGACUGCAUUCGAUACUGUUGGUCUUGAGUACAGUAGAGGAAAGCGGAAUUCCAGGUGUAGCGGUGAAAUGCGUAGAUAUCUGGAAGAACACCAGUAGCGAAGGCGGCUUUCUGGGCUGAUACUGACGCUAAAGCGCGAAGGCUUGGGUAGCAAACAGGAUUAGAUACCCUGGUAGUCCAAGCGGUAAACGUUGGGUACUAGGUGUCGGAGGUAUCGACCCCUCCGGUGCCGCAGCUAACGCAAUAAGUACCCCGCCUGGGGAGUACGAUCGCAAGAUUGAAACUUAAAUGAAUUGACGG
rnacentral:rRNA from 1 species